GUCUUGUAUCCUUUGAGGAGGUGGUUGUGUAUUUGUCCAAGGAGGAAUGGUCUCAAUUGGAUGUUCACCAGAAAACACCACAUAGUGAAGUCAUGCUAGAAAAUCAUAGGAAUGUAGACUCUCUGGCAAAGUGUGGCGAGUUGACCGUAGUGAGUUGCCCAUGGCUGACCCAUUUCAACAUGUGAGGUGGAUGUUACUGUUACAAGCAAGAGAAGAAGAGAAAAGUUUGCUUACAUAUUCGAUAAGCUGAGUGAAGUUGAUUCUUCCAUUACAUUUUGGCGCUGUGAGUAGUGUACAAAAUGCAAGGCCAGAAUUCGUACCAGAUACAGAAAAGUAAUGAAGAGGAUCAAUAGGCAUUCCCUCUGGCCUUCAGCAACGAAUGUGGAAGUGGCAAGAUUUAUGAUCAGCAUGAAGCGCCAAGCUGGAGAGACAGUGGAAGGGAUAUCCCAAGUUACUCAUACCUGUCUGGCCAAAGUGAGCCUAGCGCUCUAUGCUGCAGUACCUAGAACUUCAGCAUUGCAAAAAAACUAUCCAGCAGACACGAAAAACAAAUGCAGGCAGCACCUUUGGACCCACAGUGAGCCUGGAUGACCUUGUAUUACCCGAUGAAUACAAGAUCUUUUUACCAAUACUGGGUGUAGAAGCAAUUUCGGAGAGGGAUAGAGCAGGAUCCUAAUAUUUGGCAGAAGUAGUUGGCUGUAUAUUCUGCAAUCAUCUGACACCUGGUACGUGGAUGGCAUUUUUGCAAUUGCUCACAAACUGUUUGCUCAGGUUUAUGUGAUCCUAGCAAAGAAGUAUGAGGACAUGCCCCAUGUUGUAUGUAUUUUUGGCCAAACAAACAGUGCACUACAUACAAAUUGCUGUUUGAGCUUGUGAAAAUCCUAGUGGCUAACACCCAGCCGUGGACCAUUCUCUGUGAUUUUGAAAUGGCUGCCAUCAGGGAAUACUUCCCAGAAGUGGCUCUAAAAGGCUGUUUGUUCCACCUCAUUCAACAUGAGGAAGCAUUUGGUAACAACUGGAGCUGCCCAUGAAUUCAACACCGAUGCAAUUUGCUGUGAAAGCAAAAAUGGUUUCUUCAGCUUUGGCAUUAGUGCCUGUUUCGGACUUGGAAGAAUAUUUUGCUGCUCUAGAAAAAUAUUUGCCAGGAACCUGCAACCUCUACUGAACUCUGCUUCAAGGACAAUUACAUAGGUCAUCCAGGCAGGAGAAGACAAGGAAGACGCGGCCAUCUUUGUUUGCAACAGCCCUGUGGAAUGUAUGUUGACUGAACGCGAAGUGGAGAGGAUUGCACGAACAAUCUCUCUGAAGUUCUCAACGGCGACUAUGUGCUCAAUUGGGAUUGUAGUGUCCAACUAUUUGCAAGUUUAUUGAUGGUCUGCGGAAAGUCCAGAAAGACAGAGAUGUGAUUUAUGAACAACUCCUUUCAGGACAUGGUCCUCCACUGAAACUGAAGAAAUAUUGCAUGGCAGAUAAACACAUUGCUAGGAUUGUCAGCGAAUAUGGCAACCAAAACCCACAGUGUGUUGAACAUACAUUGAACAAUGUGGGAAGCUUACCGAAAUACUGAACAUACUUUUCCAGUUGGGUAGUUUAUCUAGGACUGUGUGUUCAGAACAUUAAAGACUGAGACUUGUAUGUAACAAUUGAUGUGCCAACAGUGAUGCAAUAUACCUUUCUUUUUGGGAAGCAGGUAUAUAAUUUGGGUUUCUGUGUAGGCAUACAUCCUAUAAUCAGCCCAAAUAAAAAGCUACACGUACAGUU